rnacentral:rRNA from 1 species
GCUACGGGUGGCUGCAGUAGGGAAUCUUCCACAAUGGGCGAAAGCCUGAUGGAGCAACGCCGCGUGGGUGAAGAAGGUCUUCGGAUCGUAAAACCCUGUUGUUAGAGAAGAAAGUGCGUGAGAGUAACUGUUCACGUUUCGACGGUAUCUAACCAGAAAGCCACGGCUAACUACGUGCCAGCAGCCGCGGUAAUACGGAGGAUGCGAGCGUUAUCCGGAUUUAUUGGGUUUAAAGGGUGCGUAGGCGGACUGUUAAGUCAGCGGUAAAAGCCCGGGGCUCAACCCCGGCUAGCCGUUGAAACUGGCUGUCUUGAGAUGUCGAGAGGUAUGCGGAAUGCGCAGUGUAGCGGUGAAAUGCUUAGAUAUUGCGCAGAACUCCGAUUGCGAAGGCAGCAUACCGGCGGCGAUCUGACGCUGAGGCACGAAAGCGUGGGUAUCGAACAGGAUUAGAUACCCGGGUAGUC